rfam:Oryza glaberrima chromosome 6 Oglab06_unplaced168_5, whole genome shotgun sequence.
AAUAAGUACAGUUUUAGCACUGUUCAUGUCCAACGUUUGACCGUUCGUCUUAUUUGAAAAAAGAUUACGAUUAGUAUUUUUAUUGUUAUUAGAUGAUAAAACAUGAAUAGUAUUUUAUGUGUGACUAAUUUUUUUUUAAUAUUUUUCAUAAAUUUUUCAAAUAAGAUGGAUGGUCAAAACGUUGAACACGGAUAUCUAUGGCUGCACUUAUU